UACGAAGGGGGCUAGCGUUGCUCGGAAUCACUGGGCGUAAAGCGCACGUAGGCGGGUUCUUAAGUCAGGGGUGAAAUCCUGGAGCUCAACUCCAGAACUGCCUUUGAUACUGAGGGGCUUGAGUCCGGGAGAGGUGAGUGGAACUGCGAGUGUAGAGGUGAAAUUCGUAGAUAUUCGCAAGAACACCAGUGGCGAAGGCGGCUCACUGGCCCGGUACUGACGCUGAGGUGCGAAAGCGUGGGGAGCAAACAGG
rnacentral:rRNA from 1 species